UGGAUCUGCAGCGAUGCUGAUUCUUGCUGUUGUGGUAGUGCUGUAGUGAUGCCUCCUUUUGAGUGGUAGUUUCCCAUGAGUUCUAUGGAUUUGCCGAUCGAAACACAGAGCAGGUAGGCUGGAGCUCCAGUACCAAGACUGCAGACAGGGCAUUCUUCUUGAAUAGAGCUGAGAAGAGUCAACUAUUUCAGCAGCAAGGCAUUACCAUAAGCAUUGGAGAAGUAACUUCCACAAUGAAGCCCAUAGUUCGUGAGAUAUGGCAAAUCCCACAAAGAGUAAAGAAGCUAAUAGAGCUCUUACCUCAUCAAGAGGUACGGUUUCUUUUUCAUCUGAACCUGCACAUGGGCUGAUUUCAUUUUGUGUGUGGGUAUGAAAUGCAACAGUCUAUGGUAA